rnacentral:rRNA from 1 species
CUACGGUGCUGAAGUAACAAAUGCCCUGCUUCCAGGAAAAGCCUCUAAGCAUCAGGUAACAUCAAAUCGUACCCCAAACCGACACAGGUGGUCAGGUAGAGAAUACCAAGGCGCUUGAGAGAACUCGGGUGAAGGAACUAGGCAAAAUGGUGCCGUAACUUCGGGAGAAGGCACGCUGGUGUGUAGGUGAAGUCCCUGCGGAUGGAGCUGAGACCAGUCGAAGAUACCAGCUGGCUGCAACUGUUUAUUAAAAACAUAGCACUCUGCAAACACGAAAGUGGACGUAUAC